rnacentral:rRNA from 1 species
AUGGCCGCAGUAUCCUGACUGUGCUAAGGUAGCAUAAUAAUUUGUCUUUUAAUUGAAGGCUGGAAUAAAUGAGUUGACGAAGAGAAAGCUGUCUUUUUUAAGUUAUUUUAAUUUGCCCCUAAGGUUAAAAGGCCUUAACCUCUCAAAGGGACGACAAGACCCUAAAAACUUCAUCCCCUACCAAUCACAUGAGAAGAGAUACAAAAGGGGUUUUACUGGGGCGGUAAAUUUUAACAAAACUCAAGAAAACACCAUGAGUGAAAUAAAAGUACAUAGAUAUAUACAAAGAACUAGUUACUUUAGGGAUAACAGCGCAAUUUCCCCAGAGAGUUCUAAUCGGCGGGGAAGAUUACGACCUCGAUGUUGAAUUGAAAAUCCUACCGUAGAGCAGAAGCACGGUAAGGGAGUCUGUUCGACUCUUAAAUUUUCACAUGAUC